AUGGAGGUGGUGACCGGUGCCAUGGGAAGCCUGCUCCCCAAGCUUGGCGAGCUGCUCGUGGGUGAGUACAAGCUGCUGAAGGGUGUCAAGAAAGAUGUUGAGUCCCUUGAGAGGGAGAUGAAGAGCAUGAACGCUGCACUUGUCAAGAUGGCGGAGGUGCCAAGGGACCAGCUGGAUAACCAGGUCAUCAUCUGGGCUGAUGAGCUCAGGGAGCUAUCGUACGACAUGGAGGAUGUUGUCGACAACUUCCUGGUGUGCGCCGAGGGUUCUCAAUCUGAUGCCAUCGCCGACUCAAACAACCUCAAAAGGCUGGUAGGGAAGAUGGCCAACUUGUUCACCAAAGGCAAGACACGCCAUCAGAUCGGCAAUGCCAUCAGGGACAUCAAGAACCGCGCCCAGGAGGUGGCUGACCGGCGUGACAGAUACAAAGUUGAUGGUGUUGUUACUAAUCCAGCUGGCAAACAAAAGAUUGAUCCUCGUGUCUUGGCUUUGUACAAGGAUCAGAAAGAGCUCGUUGGUAUUGAAGACGCACGGGACGAGCUAACCAAGAUGCUCACAGAUGAUGAUGGUCCCAAGCAGCAGCAGCACAAGAUGAAGAUAGUCUCUAUUAUUGGACCUGGAGGACUUGGCAAGACUACACUUGCUAAGGCAGUGUAUGAUAGGCUUCAAACACAAUUUACAUGCACAACAUUUGUUUUAGUGGGUCGAGACCCAGAAGUGAAGAAAGUUCUCAGGGAUAUCAUCUUGGAAGUUGACAAGAACAAGUGUAUGGGUGAUUUAGCCACAUUGGAUGAAACACAACUCAUCAGCAAACUCCGACGACUACUUGAGAAUGCAAGGUACGUAUGUACACAUCAUCCACCUUAA
rnacentral:rRNA from 1 species